GAAACACAUGACUAGGAUUUUAACAAUCAAAAGAUAUAGUGGCUCAUAAUAUUACAAUAUAAUGCCGUUGGCUGUCCAGGCAUGCUGGGAGUUGUAGUUUUGCAACAGCUGGAGGUCCAGAGUUUGGAGACCACUAACAGAUUUUCGCAGGUUGCAGUGCAUUCCGAGGCAUUACAUCACUAGUCAGAUGUUCAAAGGAGCCUGUCUGCUUCAAUAGGAGGAGCGACCGCUGGGUGGGAAGUAGAUCAUUCUGCAGUUAAUUGUAGUUUUGCAACAGCUGGAGGCAACCUGGUGGAGGCCGUGCAGUCACUCGGAAUUCACAUAACAUAUGAUCACUAUUCUGACUCACUCCAUUGGUUUCAAAAGAUUAAGUAACAGUUACUUCAUCGGCCAGGAACAGGCAUUUCUGGUUUGUUGUAACUAUUGCAUCCUUGGCAGAAAAAGAGACGCAGCGGCAGUCACGAGGAUUAAUAUGGUACCUUAACAACCAAGCUAUCUCUGUACCAGGUGAACACAAGCCUGUGGGUCCCCUUAGGAACAAACAGCAACCAUUGAACCCUGAUCAGCAGAACCAGCAGUGUAGAAGCACUCCAAUGAAACACAGAUGUCUGACUGAAACUUCAAGAAGCAACCAGAGAGAGGAUCUGUUCCCAGGCAAAAAAAUGACUUUCAUUCUGGAAACUAUUACCGCUCACAAGAGGACAGUGAGCCUGAAUCACGUGCAGAGUUACACAAUGUUAACUUGUUUUCAUACUUUUUUUCUUUACUCAGCAUUUUGUCAUUUUCUUUAACUGCAUAAGGAUAAGUGAGACACAACACACAAGUAGUUUCAAGCUGGUACA